GCCUGGAAGACGUGGAUAUCCUGGUUAUAUGUAUACCGAUCUGGCAACAAUCUAUGAACGAGCUGGACGUAUCGAAGGACGAACGGGCUCCAUCACACAAAUUCCGAUUCUGACCAUGCCUAAUGAUGAUAUUACACAUCCAACCCCAGAUCUUACAGGUUACAUCACCGAAGGACAAAUAUAUAUUGAUCGACAGCUUCACAAUCGGCAGAUAUACCCACCAAUCAAUGUGCUUCCAUCCUUGUCUCGGUU
rnacentral:misc_RNA from 1 species